CGGGACGGGUGAGUAAUGUCUGGGAAACUGCCUGAUGGAGGGGGAUAACUACUGGAAACGGUAGCUAAUACCGCAUAACGUCGCAAGACCAAAGAAGGGGGGACCGUUCGGGCCUCUUGCCAUCGGAUGUGCCCAGAUGGGAUUAGCUAGUAGGUGGGGUAACGGCUCACCUAGGCGACGAUCCCUAGCUGGUCUGAGAGGAUGACCAGCCACACUGGAACUGAGACACGGUCCAG
rnacentral:rRNA from 1 species